rnacentral:lncRNA from 1 species
AGAUCAAUGACAAUUUAAUCAACCUUAAUUAAAUAUAAUUUCUAAUCAAAUUAAAAUUAUGAAUCUGAUUUAAUCUACAAUCAUAAAUCCUAAUCAUAUUAGAUCAAUGAAUUGUAGUGAAACCAAAUCCAUCAACAAAAAUCCUAAUCCAUGUCUGGAGCAUCUCUUCUAUAAUCAAAUUUUUCGACCCCACACAUACCUAGGAUAACAACCA